GUUUAUGAUAGAUAUUGCGUUUGGUAUGUUAUGAAUGCCUGUGCGCCAUUCGCCCAUAAUAUACCGAAGUAGCCGCAAUACGUUAGCGAUGUAACUAUCAGUGCGACUUUCUGUUGUGAUAUUAUAAACCGGUUCUACAUGAAUUCAUGCAAAAAUAACGCAUCAAAAGCAAAYCUUAUUAUCAAUUAGGACAUCGUAAAGUAAAGCAGAGUAUAUGAUUUAGACUUACCAUACACUGAACCUUUAACUUAAAUAUCGCAAAUUUGAAUGUACAUUUUUCAAGCUAGUAAAUGUCAAAUAUCAUCAUUUUGAAAACUAUUUGUUUUAAGUGAAGGCAAUUUUUUUAUAUUGCAGUUUUACUCAAUAUAAUACUUUACUCGAUAUAAUAUCAAUAUUAUUAUUAUUUGCUAUACAUAGUUGUAAUAUUUUUAAAAAUAAUUACAAAUA